GGACAAGACUAGCGGUGGAAUAAAUAGUAAAAUUUUGUUCACCAAUAUUUCUUUCAUAACAUAAAGCUUUCUCCUCCCGCCAAAAAGUCAAAAACUAAAUCAUAAGCUCUUUUCUAAAAUAAUUUUCUCAUUUACAACAGGUGAUAAUUUAAACCCAAUUGCCCUUCCAAAAGUAUCAUCCCUCGAGCAAACGACAACUUUAUGACUCGAUGUGUUGGCAUAUUCCCCGUGUAUAACCAACCUCCCAAAAAUGAUUUUCAGAAGCUAAGUAGGUAGGGGUGUUCAUGGUUCGAUUUGGAUCGAUUUUUUUCCUAAAAAGAAACCAAACCAAAUAAGUCAACUUUCAAAUAUUAGAACCAAAUCAAAUCAAUUAAGUCGGUUUUUCUCGAUUCGGUUUAUGUCGAUUUUUCGAUUAUUUGUUGGUUUUUCUUAAAUAUAAGACAUACACUACCAAACACAUAUUCCUGCGACCACAUUUUCAAUGUAACACUAUCAAAUCAAUUGCCCUUUAAGAAAUCUAUUAUUUACCAAAAUAUAUUGAUGAUAAUUGAAUCAAAUAGUGAUGAAUAAUUUAAGGUCUCAAUUAAAAUAUGUUAUUUUUUAACAUAAAAUGAAUUCUUACACUAAACAAAAAAAAACUACCAAUCAAACUAGAAUGUAAAGGUAAAGAAUUAUUUUAAAAGUGCAAACUAUUAACAUUUACCAUAAAAUUUUUGAAAUUUUGUAUAACAAUAUACAUAUAUAUAUAUGUAAUAAUAAAUUUAAAAUAACUACUCAUAUAGUCAAUUUGGUUCGAUUUUUUUCUGAUUAAAACCAAAACCAAACCAAAUUUGAUCGGUUUUUAAAAUUCAAAACCAAACCAAACCAAACCAAAAAAUAACGAUUUUUUUAAUCAGGUUUGGUUUGGUUUACGGUUUGGUUCGAUUUCUCGGAUUUUUAUGAAUAGGUAUCACAGCUUUAGCAGAAUAGAACAUCUCAAUUUUCUAAGAGAAAUGAAACAGGUUCAAUAUCUAGAAAAUUCGUACCUAGAAUUAGUCCAAAACAAUUAGUAUUUCUUUAUUCCAUUAGUAAUGCAAUUGAGAUAUUUAUUACAAAAUUGUAGGUAUUUAUCAAAUUUGAUUUUAUCCUAAUGAUUUUUAGCUUUAAAAUAAUUAAAGCUUCUUACAAAACUAAACCGAAAAAUCACUAAUUGUUUUCUAGUCACAAUGCCUCGGAUAUUUUUGCGUUACACAGAAAGCUUCUAUUACCAAAGCUAAAGUCAUUCUUCACAUGUUCCUGCACUCAUAAUUGCAGCGGAUAGUUGAAAGCUAUGAAUACUUCAUAAAGUUGGUAUAUUUUCAUAUCAAUCUAUUAUCUCAAAGUCAGAAAUAAGUUACGAAAAAUAGGAAGAAAACAAUUGAAGGGCAUCAGUUCUCCAAGGUGAUAUAGCAUCAAUGAAAAGUAUCAGACGCAAAUUACCCAUUAAAAUUAUGAUAUUCCUCAUCUGCCCAUAAAAUCAAAGAAAAAAACUCUGGGAGUCGAGUAGUAGUAAAUAGUGAAAGAUAAUAAGCGAUCAGAACCUGUCGGGAUUCACUGUUUACAUCACACAAAUUAGUCAGUGGAUUGACAGACAAUGAAUUCUAUCGUCAACUCGCUCUGUUUCUUUCCCAUGAAAAGAGUAAAAAGGAUCUCAAAAGUAACAAAAGGAAGAUAUAAAACUGGUUGAAAAGUGAAGAGCUCAGAAAUUGGUAGAGGGUUGUGUCAAUGGUACACAUUUGAAAUUUUCUUCGAAGCAUCCAAACAGUAGAUAAGAAACAUGAGAACUCAUUGAAUUAAAACCAAAACUAAAACAAAGCAACAACUAAAAAAUUAAGGAAAUAUAAUGGGGACUCAGUUUAUGGGUGGUGAUAUAUCAGGAUGGUCGGCAAGGUGGAUUUACACCAUUACGACGAACGAGACCAAUCUGAAAAGUAGUCGUCAUUGUCCUAAUAACACUUUUCAAUCUCAAAAUAAUCAAAACGAAUUUAGAACGAAAACAAUUUGAGAGUCAUCAGAUAGGAGCGAAAGACUAGAGUAGUUUUAUAAUCACAAAUAAUUUCAUGUGAACUAUGGUACUAGUCAUCAUUUGACCCCCGUUGACUACUUCAAACACAGAAGAAUCAAUUAUUGAAUUAAAAGUACAGAAAAACUUAAUAAAAUUUUGAUAAAAGGGCAGCCUCAGAAGGAAGGCAGUAGUAUAGUCGUAAUCAUGAUUUUCUCAUUAACGCAAAACAACUACAUCAUCAUCGGCAAAAACUGAAACCAAAACUUAGAUUCAGAUUAAAUCACCAUUUAAAACCUGAGAUAAAAGACAAAUGAAACAAAUAAUUUUCUCUGAAAAUUAAAGGGAAAGAAUGUGAAGGAUUUAAAGAAGAAUAAAACGGCCUCAUAGAGAAGAUUAGAGUAUUCAACAUGAGAAAAAUUCAGACAUAUGCUUGUCUAUUAAAUAAGUCUAAUCAUUGGCCAAACAACUAGUAAAUACAAUAGAAGAAAAAAAAAAUAGAAGUUUGCGUUGACGCUAUUUUCUUAGAAGAACAGGAAAAGAUUACUAAUGGAAGAGCUAAAGCAGAUCGGGGGGAGGACUAGAAAAAACAAAGCAGUCAGAAAAA
rnacentral:lncRNA from 1 species